rnacentral:tRNA from 1 species
GCCACUGUAGCUCAGCCUGGUAGAGCACCUGUGCACGCCGUCAUUCAUUACCUUGCCCGCUACGGGCCGUGGAAAUGACGGUUAUCACCAUGAAUGAGGCGGUCGCGGGUUCGAAUCCCGCCAGUGGCG